AUGGGUCGUUCCAAGAUCAUCGAUGACACUGAUCUGCAGGAAAUUUUGGCCAUGCGCGAUGAUUUUGGUGUCUUGCAAAAGGAUAGCAGUCAGUUACAGACUCAGGUGUCAAAGAUCCAAACAGAGGUCCAAGCAAUUGGGUCUAAACAAGGAGAAAUUUCUGCUACUGUGGGCGAUGUGGAAAAGGUGGUACUGGACCUGGGUAAACAGCUAUCAGUAAUAAGUAAUGUCCUUCAAACUCUGGUGAAAACAACGCAAUCAACACAACAGGCAAAUCGCCCUUCUAGUUCUCAGGAAGUGCCCAAAUCUCCUACACUAAAUCAAGAUCGCUCGCAAGAACAAGAAGCAGGAUUGGAGCAGUUAAGGAAACAACUAGCAGCAGAGAAAGAAAGGUCUCAGCAGUUAGAAGAUAUUCAAUUACAAAACCUACCACCAGUCAGAGUGAAUGGAGCUGAAGGACCUCCUGGAUUUGCAACUCAGGGACGACUGGAACAACAUAGUGCAGUAGGUACUCCGGCUACAGCAAGACAGCAAGUCCACACUCCUGUAUUCAACCAGUUCUAUCAGCAGAACAGAGAAAGGCAGAUGUGGCAGGGUUAUCACAGAAAUUAUGAACAGGACAUGCAAGCACAGUUCAUGAGAGCAUUGACAAAAGGUCCUAAAAUGGAAUUUCCCAAAUUUUCAGGAGUAGAUCCAGUGGGAUGGAUCAGACAAUGCAACAAAUAUUUCCAGAUGGCUGCUGCUCCAGAAGAGUAUAAAGUAUCAUUAGCUCAACUAUAUAUGGUGGAUGAAGUUGAUGUGUGGUUAAGAAGAUCUGGGCUGCUCAAGAAACAACUUUCCUGGAAACAAUUUGGGGCAGAAAUAGUGAAGAGAUUCUCAUAA
rnacentral:rRNA from 1 species